rnacentral:rRNA from 1 species
AUUGAACGCUGGCGGCAGGCUUAACACAUGCAAGUCGAGCGUGCGGCGGACGGGUGAGUAAUGUCUGGGAAACUGCCUGAUGGAGGGGGAUAAUUACUGGAAACGGUAGCUAUUACCGCAUACCAUCAGAUGUGCCCAGAUGGGAUUAGCUAGUAGGUGGGGGAAUGGCUCACCUAGGCGACGAUCCCUAGCUGGUCUGAGAGGAUGACCAGCCACACGGGAACUGGGAAAGGGGCAAGACUCCUACGGUAGGCAGCAUUGGGGAAUAUUGCACAAUGGGCGCAAGCCUGAUGCAGCAAUGCCGCGUGUGUGAAGAAGGCCUUCGGGUUGAAAAGCACUUUCAGCGAGGAGGCGUUACUCGCAGAAGAAGCACCGGCUAACUCCGUGCCAGCAGCCGCGGUAAUUC